AUUGAACGCUGGCGGCAGGCCUAACACAUGCAAGUCGAGCGAGCGGCGGACGGGUGAGUAAUGUCUGGGAAACUGCCUGAUGGAGGGGGGUAACUACUGGAAACGGGAGCAAAUACCGCAUAAAAUCAGAGGUGCCCAGAUGGGAUUAGCCAGUAGGUGGGGGAACGGCUCACCUAGGCGACGACCCCUAGCUGGUCUGGGAGGAUGACCAGCCCCACUGGAACUGAGACACGGUCCAGACUCAUACGGGAGGCAGCAGUGGGGAAUAUUGCACAAUGGGCGCAAGCCUGAUGCAGCCAUGCCGCGUGUGUGAAGAAGGCCUUCGGGUUGUAAAGCACUUUCAGCGGGGAGGCGUUACCCGCAGAAGAAGCACCGGCUAACUCCGUGCCAGCAGCCGCGGUAAUAC
rnacentral:rRNA from 1 species